rnacentral:rRNA from 1 species
UGGGGAAUUUUGGACAAUGGGCGAAAGCCUGAUCCAGCCAUGCCGCGUGCGGGAAGAAGGCCUUCGGGUUGUAAACCGCUUUAGUCCGGGAAAAAGGGCUGACGUGCUAAUACCGCGUUGGUUUGAUGGUACUGGAAGAAUAAGCACCGGCUAACUACGUGCCAGCAGCCGCGGUAAUACGUAGGGUGCGAGCGUUAAUCGGAAUUACUGGGCGUAAAGCGUGCGCAGGCGGUCUUGUAAGACUGUCGUGAAAGCCCCGGGCUUAACCUGGGAACUGCGAUUGUGACUGCAAGGCUAGAGUGUGUCAGAGGGGGGUGGAAUUCCGCGUGUAGCAGUGAAAUGCGUAGAGAUGUGGAGGAACACCGAUGGCGAAGGCAGCCCCCUGGGAUAACACUGACGCUCAUGCACGAAAGCGUGGGGAGCAAACA